GAUGAACGCUGGCGGCGUGCCUAACACAUGCAAGUCGAACGAACAGAUCAGGCGCUUGCUCCUUUGACGAUAGCGGCGCACGGGUGAGUAACACGUGGAUCCCCUCCCUAUCAGACUGGUAUAACUCCGAGAAACCGGCGCUUACGCCAGAUGACAUCUUGAACCGCAUGGUUCGAUAGAGAAAGUCGGUUUUGCUAUCACUUAUAGAUGGAUCUGCGCCGGUUUAGCUAGUUGGUACGUUAACGGAGUACCAAGGCAACGAUACGUAGACGACGGGAGAGGGUGAUAGGCCACCCUGGAAGUGAGACACGGUCCAGGGUCCUACGGGAGGGAGCAGAAGGGAAUCUGCGGCAAUGGGGGGAAGCCUGACGGAGCAACGCGAAGUGAGUGAUGAAGGUCUUCGGAUCGUAAAACUCGGUUAUGAGGGAUGAACAAAUGUGUAAGUAACUGUGGAGGUCGUGACGGUACCUGAUCAGAAAGCCACGGCUAACUACGUG
rnacentral:rRNA from 1 species